AAUGAACGCUAGCGGCGUGCUUAACACAUGCAAGUCGAACGAGAACGGGUUAUAGCUUGCUAUAAUUGUCAGCUAAGUGGCGCACGGGUGGGUAAUGUAUAGGCAAUAUGCCGCUUAAUAAGGGAUAACAAAUGGAAACGUUUGCUAAUACCUUAUACUCCUUAUUAACAUAAGUUAAUAAGGGAAAGAUUUAUUGUUAAGAGAUUGGACUGUAUUGUAUUAGUUAGUUGGUGGGGUAAUGGCUUACCAAGACUAUGACACAUAACUGGUUUGCGGGGAUGGUCAGGAACACGGGAACUGAAACACAGUCCAGACUCCUACGGGAGGAAGCAGUGGGGAAUAUUGCACAAUGGACGAAAGUCUGAUGCAGCAACGCCGCGUGGAGGAUGACACAUUUCGGUGCGUAAACUCCUUUUAUAUGAGAAGAGAAUGACGGUAUUAUAUGAAUAAGCACCGGCUAACUCCGUGCCAGCCGCCGCAGUAA
rnacentral:rRNA from 1 species